GAUGAAGAACGUAGCGAAAUGCGAUAAGUAAUGUGAAUUGCAGAAUUCAGUGAAUCAUCGAAUCUUUGAACGCACAUUGCGCCCGCCAGUAUUCUGGCGGGCAUGCCUGUUCGAGCGUCAUUUCAACCAUCAAGCCCCCGGCUUGUGUUGGGGACCUGAGGCUGCCGCAGGCCCUGAAAACCAGUGGCGGGCUCGCUAGUCACUCCGAGCGUAGUAGUUACAUCUCGCUCAGGGCGUGCUGCGGGUUCCGGCCGUUAAAAGCCUUAUUUACCCAAGGUUGACCUCGGAUCAGGUAGGAAGACCCGCUGAACUUAAGCAUAUCAAUAAGCGGAGGA
rnacentral:misc_RNA from 1 species